rnacentral:rRNA from 1 species
UAGUGGCGAACGGGUGAGUAACACGUGAKAACCUGCCCUUAACUCUGGGAUAAGCCUGGGAAACUGGGUCUAAUACCGGAUAUGACUCCUCAUCGCAUGGUGGGGGGUGGAAAGCUUUAUUGUGGUUUUGGAUGGACUCGCGGCCUAUCAGCUUGUUGGUGAGGUAAUGGCUCACCAAGGCGACGACGGGUAGCCGGCCUGAGAGGGUGACCGGCCACACUGGGACUGAGACACGGCCCAGACUCCUACGGGAGGCAGCAGUGGGGAAUAUUGCACAAUGGGCGCAAGUGAUGCAGCGACGCCGCGUGAGGGAUGACGGCCUUCGGGUUGUAAACCUCUUUCAGUAGGGAAGAAGCGAAAGUGACGGUACCUGCAGAAGAAGCGCCGGCUAACUACGUGCCAGCAGCCGCGGUAAUACGUAGGGCGCAAGGUUAUCCGGAAUUAUUGGGCGUAAAGAGCUCGUAGGCGGUUUGUCGCGUCUGCCGUGAAAGUCCGGGGCUCAACCCCGAUCUGCGGUGGGUACGGGCAGACUAGAGUGAUGUAGGGGAGACUGGAAUUCCUGGUGUAGCGGUGAAAUGCGCAGAUAUCAGGAGGAACACCGAUGGCGAAGGCAGGUCUCUGGGCAUUAACUGACGCUGAGGAGCGAAAGCAUGGGGAGCGAACAGGAUUAGAUACCCUGGUAGUCCAUGCCGUAAACGUUGGGCACUAGGUGUGGGGGACAUUCCACGUUUUCCGCGCCGUAGCUAACGCAUUAAGUGCCCGCCUGGGGAGUACGGCCGCAAGGCUAAAACUCAAAGGAAUUGACGGGGGCCGCACAAGCGGCGGAGCAUGCGGAUUAAUUCGAUGCAACGCGAAGAACCUUACCAAGGCUUGACAUGGACUGGAAAAGUGCAGAGAUGCACUCCCCUCUUUGAGGCCGGUUCACAGGUGGUGCAUGGUUGUCGUCAGCUCGUGUCGUGAGAUGUUGGGUUAAGUCCCGCAACGAGCGCAACCCUCGUUCUAUGUUGCCAGCGCGUUAUGGCGGGGACUCAUAGGAGACUGCCGGGGUCAACUCGGAGGAAGGUGGGGACGACGUCAAAUCAUCAUGCCCCUUAUGUCUUGGGUUCACGCAUGCUACAAUGGCCGGUACAAAGGGUUGCGAUACUGUGAGGUGGAGCUAAUCCCAAAAAGCCGGUCUCAGUUCGGAUUGGGGUCUGCAACUCGACCCCAUGAAGUCGGAGUCGCUAGUAAUCGCAGAUCAGCAACGCUGCGGUGAAUACGUUCCCGURCCUUGUACACACCGCCCGUCAAGUCACGAAAGUUGGUA